GACGAACGCUGGCGGCGUGCUUAACACAUGCAAGUCGAACGGAAAGGCCCUGCUUUUGUGGGGUGCUCGAGUGGCGAACGGGUGAGUAACACGGGAGUAACCUGCCCUUGACUUUGGGAUAUCUUCAGGAAACUGGGGCUAAUACCGGAUAGGAGCUCCUGCUGCAUGGUGGGGGUUGGAAAGUUUCGGCGGUUGGGGAUGGACUCGCGGCUUAUCAGCUUGUUGGUGGGGUAGUGGCUUACCAAGGCUUUGACGGGUAGCCGGCCUGAGAGGGUGACCGGCCACAUUGGGACUGAGAUACGGCCCAGACUCCUACGGGAGGCAGCAGUGGGGAAUAUUGCACAAUGGGCGGAAGCCUGAUGCAGCAACGCCGCGUGCGGGAUGACGGCCUUCGUGUUGUAAACCGCUUUCGCCUGUGACGAAGCGUGAGUGACGGUAAUGGAUAAAGAAGCACCGGCUAACUACGUG
rnacentral:rRNA from 1 species